UGGUAUGAGCGCCCUUCAAAGGCAUUCGCUGC
rnacentral:piRNA from 1 species